rnacentral:rRNA from 1 species
CAGUAGCCGCGGGAAUACGUAGGUGGCGAGCGUUGUCCGGAUUUAUUGGGCGUAAAGGGAGUGUAGGCGGUCUUUUAAGUCUGAUGUGAAAGCCCACGGCUCAACCGUGGAGGGUCAUUGGAAACUGGGAGACUUGAGUGCAGAAGAGGAGAGCGGAAUUCCAUGUGUAGCGGUGAAAUGCGUAGAUAUAUGGAGGAACACCAGUGGCGAAGGCGGCUCUCUGGUCUGUAACUGACGCUGAGGCUCGAAAGCGUGGGGAGCAAACAGGAUUAGAUACCCCCGUAGUCCCUGUCUCUUAUAC